rnacentral:lncRNA from 1 species
CCCAUUUCUUUGAUGACAUCCUUUACUUUUUCUCUGAAGUUCUUAUUUUUUGUCACUCCCUGUUCAUACCUAUUAUGUUUAUUUCCAGAGAUCACAAUGUUCUAUGACUCAUAGUAAAAGAAUGUGGUAGAGUGCUGGUAUUAAAAAAGAUGGUUUUAGUUUCUGUUAGAAAUUUUGGGUCAUUAAAGGAAUUGUCAGUUUCCCUAAGAAGACCUCUCUCUCUCUCUCUCUCUCUCUCUCUCUCUCUCUCUCUCUCUCUCUCUCUCUCUCUCUCUCUCUCUCUCUCUCUCUCUUCUUUCUCUCUUUCUCUCUUUCUCUUUCUUUCUUUCUUUCUUUCUUUCUUUCUUUCUUUCUUUCUUUCUUUCUUUCUUUCUUUCUUUCUUUCUUUCUUUCUUUCUUUCUUUCUUUCUUUCUUUCUUUCUUUCUUUCUUUCUUUCUUUCUUUCUUUCUUUCUUUCUUUCUUUCUUUCUUUCUUUCUUUCUUUCUUUCUUUCUCCCCCUCUGUUUCUUUCUUUC